rnacentral:lncRNA from 1 species
AUCAAACACACCUGAGGUAGUGAGGUCACCACCACGUGCACCGUCCAUUCUCACAUCGAGAUGAUUCAGCCACCACGGUAACCACGCGCUCCAGCCACUCACUCCCUCAGCUCAAGAAUACACCAACAUCCCGAACUGCAGGCAACAGGCGGGUGGAGAGAUCGGGGAGCCAGCUUGGAGAGCGGAGAGCGCACACCACCAGCGCAGUCGAGACUAAAACGGAAAUAACGAAUUAACUACCAAGGGGAUUGUCAUUUCCUUAACAUCCUUUCAAUCGUUAAUGACACAUCGUUAAAGGAGGCAAAACGAAAAACACAACAGAGAUUGAUUUAUUAUCCAUAGUUUACCGUUCCAGCGCGUGGAAAGAUGAAGACUAAAAACCUUGAGCAAAGCUUGUCUGAUUCCAGAGAAUUGGAUGGAUCGUAUGACCAGCUGACUGGUGGAAUGAAGAGGAAAUUGGUGGCUCUGGCCAAACACAAAGACCUUAUGCCUUGGGUGAAGAGUAUAUGCAUUCAUCUGUGGUGGAUUUGUAGCUCAUGUGGAGGAGAUGGAGGUAAAUACAUACAUCAAUAGUGUAACUGUAGAAAAACAACCCCACCCAUGUCUCACUCCCCUCAGUUGGUCUCAGACCACGUUGAAGUGUUUGUGACAGGUCUAGGGACAUAAAUCUGCCCUGUCUAUCAGGAGCCAACAACUGAGAUGAGAGUGAGAGUCCCAACUCUUUCACCACUUAAUUCCCCAGAACAGUGUGCAGAUAUCAGC